rnacentral:lncRNA from 1 species
CUCCUAAUGUGUGUGCAAGGAGAGAAAAGCAAAACAUACAUUCAGGUUUGAAACCAAAUUUUGGCAUUUUCUAUCUGCACAACCUUGUCCGUGACCUCUCUAAACCAAAGUUGGGGUAUCAUGGGGAUGACAAUAUAUACAUUGCAUUGAUGUUAUAAGGAUUAAAGAUAAUGUAUGAGAAGUGCCUAAAAUGGUGCCUGAAACAUCGCAUGCUAAAAUGUAGGUUAUGAUUAAAUCUGAGUUCAACUUAUUUUAAAAAUAAUAUGCCCAAUACCUGCUAAAUGCCAAUUAUUUGUUUAUUUAAUCAACACUUUAGUAAGCACCUAUUACGUACCACUACUAAGUAUGUAAAAAUGAAUAAGAUACAGUCUCUGACCACACACAAGUCAGUCUAGGAGGAUGACCUAGUUAAUUGCAAUGAUGAUUGCAAAACAAUAGAUUAAGUGCUGUAACAGAAUACACUCAAGGUCUAGUGGAGUUGGGAUGGGAUAAAAAGGUAAGUUUUAAAGGAGAGGUAUUUCAGCUCAAUGAAUAAGAGUUUCCAGGCAUGGCGACAGGGAUGAUGGAGAGGCAGGGAGGUUUCCAGACAUAAGAAAGGCAUAUGCAUGUGCACAGGAGCAUGAGAAAGCACGAUGCAUUGGAGUACUGGAAGUAUUCCAUAUUGUCAGGAUAAAGAGUUCAGAGAGUCAUGGGUGAGGUGAGGAUGGCUUAGGGGGAAAGAAAGCUAGAAAACAGGUGGGGAUAAAGGGACCUAUGUACCAUGCUGUGGACUGAAGAGGGACAAAUAUAGAGGCAGAGAGCUGGGUGCAGUGGCAUGCACCUGUAGUCCCAGCUGCUCAUGAGGCUGAGGCAGGAGGAUUGCUUGAGCCCAUGAGUUCAAGUCCAGUCUGAGCAACAUAGUGAGACCACAUCUCUAAAAACAAUAGAGGGAGGUUUUACAACAGAUAAAAAGAGAAACAAUGAGGAUAUGAACCAUGGUAGAUGCAGUAGGAAAGUGAGGUGCAUAUUACAACAAGAGUUGAAUAGGAAUACUAAACCAUGGCACCAAUUUAAUUAGGGAAGGAAGAUAAGGAAAGACAGGGAGAGUGCAGAAAACGAAUGCAGAAAUAAUGGCCAAAAGUGUUUGAAAUUCCACAAAAACUACAUAUCCUCAAAUCGAGAAACUCAAAGAAUCCCAAGAAAUGUGAUUCUUGAGAAGAAAUGUGAAGUACAAGAAAUGUGAAGAAAAUCACACCAAGGAAUAUCAUGAUCAAAUUUCUGAAAACCAGUAUUAAAAGAAAAUCUUAAAACAGCCAAAGAAAAAAGACGCAUUAUAUACAGAGAAACACAGACAAGAAUGACAGCAGACUUACUCAUCAGAAACAAUGCAGAAGAAAAGACAACAGUGCAACAUUUUA